rnacentral:pre_miRNA from 1 species
UGACUUUGGUCAAAGUCAAACUGCUUCAAGUUUGACCAAGCUUAUAGAAAAAAUAGUAAUAUUUUUGACCUAACGUAAAUUUAUUAUAAAAAUAUAUUUAAUUAUUAAUUUAAUAAAACUAAUUUGGUAAUAUAAAUAUUACUAUAUUUAUCUAUAAAGUUAGUCAAACUUGAAGCAGUUUGACUUUGACCAAAGUCAA